CAGAGCGCGUAUCUAAGAAAUGUUGGUUGAAUAAAGGAGCCAAUAAAUGAGAAAGAUCCCUUUGCCUUCUCCUCACUGGAUUGGUACCCUUCUGCCCGGUUUUGUGUAAGUUGCCAUCCUGAUGGGCGUGGAGAGAGGACGGUGCUGGAGCAGGAAUACUAGCCCAGCCCCCGAGCCCCCACGGCCACAGACCCCCGAUUUACCGUUGCCCGAUGUGUGGUCUCCGGCCCGAUACAGGUUUGGUUUUACUUUCACCCGGGUCCAGCCUGGACCUUCUUUAUCUUGAUAAAAGUUGCAGAGAUCUUCCUCGAAAUCGCAGCUGGCUUCUGUGGCACUGAAAGGAAGUUCUGAAUAAAGGAGAACCAAAGUUAAAGAGCCAGACUCUAGGGUCUCAAGGGACUGCAUCAACAGGUUGACAAAUGUAUGCACAUUCGUGCCAGGGGAGACGGAAUACAGAAAACACGCAACAAUAUUUUUGCCCUAAUGAUAUGCUGGCAGGUGAGCAUCAAGCUAACAUGUCAGCACAACAGCAAGAUUGUUCUCUUCCUCCCUAAAGGGAUGGAGGGAAGGAGCUCUGUUCAUUUUCUCUAUAAAAAAUAAAGAAGUACCAGGCUUCAAAAGACA